AACGUAGGUUCCGAGCGUUAUCCGGAUUUACUGGGCGUAAAGCGCGUUCAGGCGGUUUGGCAAGUCGGGCAUGAAAUCCUUCGGCUCAACCGGGGGAGGUUGUCCGAUACUGCUGAACUGGAGGGCAGUAGAGGGUGGUGGAAUUCCGGGUGUAGUGGUGAAAUGCGUAGAGAUCCGGAGGAACCCCAGAGGCGAAGGCGGCGCCCUGGCUCGACACUGACGCUCAGACACGACAGCAUGGGGAGCGAACGGG
rnacentral:rRNA from 1 species